UUCUUAUAUAUAUGUUUAUAUAUAUACAAGAUAACGACACACUAAAUAGAAUAAAGAGGGAAAAAACAAACCCUACAUAACACGUAACUAUUAAAAAACACAGAAAAAUAGAUAACAUAAAUAGAAAAACCAACCUAGAAAUAGCUUAACCAGUACUAGUUGUAAUUUACGAGUUAUUCAUUGAAAUCGUAGACAAAUUGUUUGAAAAUGUUUUAAAUAUGAUCUAUGGGUUAUUCAUAUUUGAUUCUUAUAUAUACGUUUAUAUAUAUAUAUAUACAAGAUAACGACACACUAAAUAGAAUAAAGAGGGAAAAAACAAACCCUACAAAACACGUAACUAUUAAAAAACACAGAAAAAUGGAUAACAUAAAUAGAAAAAUCAACUUAGAAAUAACUUAACCAGUUCUAGUUGUAUUUUACGAGUUAUUCCUUGAAAUCGUAGACAAAUUAUUUAAAAAUGUUUUAAAUAUGAUCUAUGGGUUAUUCAUAUUUGAUUCUUAUAUAUACGUUUAUAUAUAUAUACAAGAUAACGACACACUAAAUAGAAUAAAGAGGGAAAAAACAAACCCUACAUAACACGUAACUAUUAAAAAACAUAGAAAAAUAGAUAACAU
rnacentral:lncRNA from 1 species